rnacentral:lncRNA from 1 species
GAACGGCAGCUGCAGCUGGAGGCACCACCUGAGCGAGUUUACGAUGCCUCUUGCCGUCCCGCGAGCUCCAUCUGUCCUAGACACAAGGAUAAAUCUCAGAGAAGGGCACGAGGCUGCUGGUGGCAGUGCCGGAUCUCAUGGGCAGCUCGGUCUGAUUCCAGGGACCAAUAAACACAGGAAGCCGUGCGCUGAGUAAGAAGAAAGGAAAUCAAGGGAAGACUCCUGUGUGUCUCCGAGGCCGUGGCGUUGCUGUUUCCCAGCAGGAAGGGGAGGGGCACGCAGGAGCCCGGGACACAGGCCUACAAGGGUCAUCCUUAAUAAAUGUCAGCGUGGCAGCCUACCUCCUGGAGGCCCCCAGGGCAACUGCGUUCCAGUGGUACCCCAGGGAAACUUGGCAGGUGACUGUGGCAGAGGGUGCCUCCGCACAUACAUCGGGCUGUUGACAUCUCCCCCGUCCCUGAAGUCGGGCAGAACUUCAGACAUGCAGCAGAAUCGUUUUCUGUCAGUCUCGGCAGUUGCACUUGGAACCCAACCACAUGUCUCAGGAACCCAGGCCACCCGGAAAGGCUACGAGUGGGGGCUUCAGCGGGCAGCCCUAAUGGGACCCCCCGGGGGACAUCCAGCAUCCACUGCCCAGCGUGUGAGUGAGCGAGUGACCCUCUGAUGAUUCCAGCCCCAGCCUUUGAGUUUUCCAGCCCAGGCUCUAGACACUGGGCAGCAGAGAUCAUUCGCACCUGCAGCCUGCUUUCCUGACCCAAGGAAGUCCUGAGAAGUAACAAUGAUCCCUGCUUUAAGCUACUAGACUUGGGGGCAGCUUGUUACAGAGCAAUGAAUGACCGGAACAGACAUGCCCCGUUUGUGGGUUGUUUCUCCUCCUUUACCUUCUUUCUCCACUUCCCUUCCGGCUUUGCCUGGGUCACCUCGCAGACCGUGCGCCUGCCUUCCGG